rnacentral:tRNA from 1 species
GGUUGUGGCUUAGUGGUAGAGCGAUUGCCUAGCAUGUGUAAGGCACUGGGUUAGAUUCUCAGCACCA